GUGUUGAUGUGCCGCCGCGACCCACUGAUCCGAUCAGGACGACUGGACGACCACGCCGAGCCUCUCGCCGGUAAAAACGGAUCGCCACCGCCACCCUAGCCGCCACCGCCUGCCUGCCCAGCGACCCCGUCUUCCCGACCGCCCACAAUCCUGGCCAGGCAAUCGUCAUCUGCCCAUCAGGCAGCCACCGCCGCCCCGCGCUUAGCGCAACUGCAGCCGGCCACCCUCGCGAGAUCCCGCCCGAUCGCUAGCCCUCGCCCCAAAGUGACAGCCUGGCGCUGGGGCUAGAAGCCUGGAGCAGGCAGCGCUGGGGAUAGAGCUUGGCGGCGGCGCAGCUUCAACUCGUUGGCGGAAUCGUCGGUAGCGUCGCGUCGGUUCCGUACUUCUACAUCCCCUUUCACAUUCCCAGUCUCUGGUUUUUCCUAAUGGAUGCAUGCUUGAGACCCCUCUUACUUCGAUCUAAUCCUUUUAGGCUGAAAGGUGCAGUUGCGGAGCACAUAGGGUACAGACCCCUCUGAUUUCGCAUUCCCAGUCUAAUCAUUUUUCGAUGAACCUUGAUUUGGACCCAAGCAAGACAAUCCUGUACCAUUGCAAUGUCGAGAAACAAGAUGAUUCCAUAGCAACGAUUUUUAAGAGAAGAUGUGGUUCAGUCUGUAUUGUAGCAUUCCAGAUGUUCUUCGUCUGCUUCUGUUCUACAUUACAUUCAGAUUAAUCCGUAGAGCAACGCUGAAGUUUGGUUGCUUUUAUAAUAGGGCGUGAUACAUGAGGCACAUCGGCCUUCCAGGGUCAUGGUACCCAACUAAUCCUACUGAUAUUGCUGAAAUUGAUGCCAAACGCAAGACGGGUGCAGAGGAGAGCGACAGCGACCUCGAGCAUGAGACAGCGCCUCCACAGUUCAAGAAACCAGCAAGAGCUCCAGCGGCAGAGAAGCUUUGAGUGACGAUGGCAAGUCCGGAAGCUGCCACGAGCAGCUCCUCUUCGAGUUCCUCGAGUCCGAGCCUCCCUAUCAGCGCGAGGCGCUUGCUGAUUUGUGGCCUCGCAAAGCAGUUUCCAGAGUUGCGGACCCUGAGGAGCUGCGACUUGUCUCCGUUGCAUGGUACCCAAUAUACCGGAUCCCGACGGGGCCAACGCUGCACGACCUGGAUGCGUGCUUCCUCAUCUACCACUCGCUCUCCACACAGUUCGCAGGCGACAGCAGCCACUGCCCCAAAUAGCCGACGGCAAUCGUGCGGUGCCCGUGAUGGCGAUGCGGCUCCAUCUUACUAAGUCUGAAGGUAGUUAGUCUUCAGUGAGACAGACUGGGAUCACAUAGUGUUCAUCAAGUCGUUUUCUCAAUGUUUUUUUUCAUGUACCAGUGAAGUUUUUUGGAGAAAAUGUAGCAGAAAAUGUAUAGUUGUGGAGCAAUACAAUGUCAUGUUAGUUGGUACGGUGUUUACAUGAAAAACGUGCUUAGCAUGAAUUUCAGUAUCCUGACGUAUUGGAAAGACAAUGAUAACAAGUAAUCUUUAAAGGAUCGUGAUAUCAUUUAUUUAGUCCA